AAAGAAACUAACAAGGGAUUCCCUCAGUAACGGCGAGUGAACAGGGAAAAGCCCAGCACCGAAGCCUGUGGCCAUUUGGUUACUAGGCAAUGUGGUGUUCAGGUCAUUCCGCGGAGGUACUGCUCCAUUCCAAGUCCAGCAAUGAGUACGGUAAUGCUGACAUGGCCCAAAGAGGGUGAAAGGCCCGUUGGGGUGGAGAUGCAGAAAUGACAGUACCUUCCUGGGUCGACCUUGGAGUCGGGUUGUUUGUGAAUGCAGCCCAAAGUGGGUGGUAAACUCCAUCCAAGGCUAAAUACUAACACGAGUCCGAUAGCGAACAAGUACCGUGAGGGAAAGUUGAAAAGUACUUUGAAGAGAGAGUAAACAGUGCGUGAAACCGCUCAGAGGUAAACGGGUGGAGUUGAACUGUGAGCUCUGUGGAUUUAGCUGGUGAGUUUGGUUUGAGCUUGGUCAAAUUGGUUGAUACUCGGGGUCUGCGUAGCAGCAGGUCUCCACCUUUUGGUGGUGAUGCGCGAGGCACUUAACAGGUGUUGCGCGCCCCUUGUUUAUUCGGACCGGCUUGCCAGUGCACUUUCGCAGAGUGGUCACCACGACCGGCAUCGCUGUCUGGCUGUUGUGGUUAAACCGGCCUUGCAUUGUCUUCCGGGCUUUGUUUGGUCGGGAUGGCAGGUAGCUCGUUGGCUUGCUUGUGGCUUGCUGCAGGCAUUUGGUCUUCGGGUGUAAUCAGCUGACCGCAUCGGUUCUGUGCAGUAUGUCGGAGACGGCGGCUUGUGGUGUGUGCGUGCGUACCAGUUGGCUGGCGUGUCCGGGUUUGGUUGUUAUGUUGCCUGUGUGUGCAGGCCUGAUGAUAGCUCGGAUUCGUUCGGUCGGCGGUU
rnacentral:rRNA from 1 species